rnacentral:lncRNA from 1 species
CCCCAUUGGACUGAUCUUUUAAAGCUGACCAGUCUGGAUGCUCCUCCUUGUGGUCAGUGUCCAGGGUGAGUACACCAGAGCCUGCAGUGGACCAGGGACCCUCUUCUCCUGGGGAAGCAGAGGGUCUGGAUGACAGAGGACAACACGGAGGGCCUCUUAGUGUUUGAUGAAUAAACAUCAGAGUCGAGUUUCAGAGCUGUCACUCUGCAGACCUUCAGUGCAGGAGAGGCCAGGCCUACCGCUCAUCAGAUGGUUACUGAUGAGCAACCCCAGCGACCCAGAGGCUGCUGGUAUUUCGCCUCAUGGCAGAAGCUCCUUCCUGGUCCUCUGCAGGCUGUGAAUGGGGCCUUCAUGAAGCCUAGACUUGGAAGUAAAGAAGAGAAUUCAUG